AUUCUAUUGAGGCAAAAUAUUUAACAUGCAAUCUGCCUGCUAAAGAAAAAUUUAAGUGUACCUGACGCUAACAUGGGCUGUAGCUAGAUAGCUACAGUGUUAUACAGCAGAUCUCUAGAACUAUUUUUUAUCUUAUUAACUGAAGUUUUAUGCCCAGUGAUUCUUAGCUCCCAAUUUCCUCGUCCUCUGAGCCCCAGGCACCCAAAUUCCACCUUGAUUGAAUGAAUUUGACUAUUUUAAAUGAGUGGAUAAGUGGCAUCAUACCAUAUCUGUCUUCUGGGUCUCCCUUAUUUCACUCAGCCUGACACCUGAAGGCUCAUUGGUGUUACUGUAUGUUGCAAAAUUUCUUUCUUUUUAAAAGGCCAAAUAGUAUUCCAUUGUAUUUAAUGUUUUAGUUAUAUUUCUCCCCAUAUGUUUUUCUUAGUACUGCCAUGUUUCAGCAGAGUGCAGGUUCAAGGACGAAGGAAAAUACAAGCAAAGACACGAGGUUGCAAAACACACGGAAACGUUGCCAUGGGAAAUUCUGGAAGUGUGGAGGCGACACCAGCAUCUGCAACUUGCCCAGGCUCCUCUGAUGUCCUCUUUUACAAGAAGGUUUGUCCUGGACACAGAAAUGAAGGCAUCCAGGGAGCAUGGCCCAGGGAAGACUGUAUGGGAGGUGGAGUUGGAGAGGGCCCAACAAAGGCAAGUUGCAGGAGGGGAAAGUGGUGAAUUUGUCAAGGCAAGAUCAUGAAAAAGACUUUGUAGGCAGUGGGAGGACUUGGGUCUGUUGGGAGUGAGGCAGAGAACCAUUGGGGAGUUUCAGCAGUGAAAUAAUGUGGUCUGACUUAGGUUCAGAGAAUGGGUUUGAGUUGAAGAGUAGAAACAGAGUCGAGUGAGGAGUUUGUCCAGUAAUCCAGGACUCAGGCAAGGGUCCUGGAUGAUGCAUCUUAGACCAAGAUGAUGACAGUGGCAACAGAGGAUGUGGGUGGUUUCUGAAUGUACCUUGAAAAUUCAGUCAAGAAGAUUUCUUCUUAAUUUGGCUGUGUGGUGUGAGAGAAAGAGUGAAUAAAAAAAUGAUUCUAACAAAAAUAGCCAGCCUAUGACUCUCGUUCAUAAUUAUCCUCUAAACAAGAAAAUUUCAUUGUGCCUCAACAUUCCAAGGCCAGCUCAGGACCAUUGUUAAAGAAGUGUGAGUACCCAGGUGAAAGGUACACGUAAGGGGAUCAGUACUACACAUGUUCUAAGGGGCAGGUUGAAGAUAGACAAACCUAAUUUGUCUAUGCCUACAGCA
rnacentral:lncRNA from 1 species